UACAGAGGUCUCAAGCGUUGUUCGGAUUCAUUGGGCGUAAAGGGUGUGUAGGUGGCGCCGCAAGUCGGGUGUGAAAUCUUGGAGCUUAACUCCGAAACUGCAUUCGAUACUGCCGUGCUUGAGGACUGGAGAGGAGACUGGAAUUUACGGUGUAGCGGUGAAAUGCGUAGAUAUCGUAAGGAAGACCAGUGGCGAAGGCGGGUCUCUGGACAGUUCCUGACGCUGAGGCACGAAGGCCAGGGGAGCAAACGGG
rnacentral:rRNA from 1 species